UCUAUGGAGAAUAUUUUAUAGAAAAGAACGUCGUAUUAAGUCUUCGAUGUUUAGCACAUUUAUGUGAAAAGACUUUAAUCGCACCAAAUUGGCUUUUACUUGGUUUUGAGAGAAUAUACUCUCAACAUUUUGUUCUUUGAAAACUAGAUAAUGUAAAAAUGAGUAGUUGUUUUAUUUAUGAAACAACAUUAAGAUCUCAAAACUCAUCAAUUAGGAAUAAUAAAAUUAAUACGUUAAGUAUUGAUUUAACUGU
rnacentral:misc_RNA from 3 species